rnacentral:rRNA from 1 species
GAUGAACGCUGGCGGCGUGCUUAACACAUGCAAGUCGAACGAAGCACUUUAUUACGAUUUCUUCGGAAUGACGAUUUGGUGACUGAGUGGCGGACGGGUGAGUAACGCGUGGGUAACCUGCCUUAUACAGGGGGAUAACAGUUAGAAAUGACUGCUAAUACCGCAUAAGCGCACAGGAUUGCAUGAUCUGGUGUGAAAAACUCCGGUGGUAUAAGAUGGACCCGCGUCUGAUUAGCUGGUUGGUGAGGUAACGGCCCACCAAGGCGACGAUCAGUAGCCGACCUGAGAGGGUGACCGGCCACAUUGGGACUGAGACACGGCCCAAACUCCUACGGGAGGCAGCAGUGGGGAAUAUUGCACAAUGGGGGAAACCCUGAUGCAGCGACGCCGCGUGAGCGAAGAAGUAUUUCGGUAUGUAAAGCUCUAUCAGCAGGGAAGAAAAAAUGACGGUACCUGACUAAGAAGCCCCGGCUAACU